CUUCAACCUCUUGCCUCAGAGGGCACAACAGAUCACUCGGCCAAACCAGCAACCAACUGAGGAAAUAGAAAUGGCCUCUGAUAUCGAACCUAUGCAACAAAACCAACAGGAGGGAACAUCCCAAAACCCUCCACCUUUAUCAACCCACAAAGAUCCGGAUUUGAUACACCAAUUUCACACCUUACUUCGCUCUGAACUGGAAAAGACAUCAGAGAAAAUUAUGAGAUCAAUAUCUAGAGAAAUAAAAGAAUUGGGACAGAGAACAGAUGCAUUGGAGAACAAAAUGGAUGACGCAAUUACUGUACUGGACGGACACGAGUCAGAAAUUCAUAAACUUACUACGCAAGUAUCCGACCUCACAGAAAAGCUGGAAGACCUGGAAAAUAGGUCCCGGAGAUCAAACCUAAGGAUAUGAGGCCUUCCAGAAACGUACAAAAAUUUAGAUAAGGAUAUUACGGAACUAUUCCAAUUUCUUGCUCCAGACAUUCCUAUCCCACGACUGGAAAUGGAUAGGGUUCAUAGAUCCCUGGGCAAACCACUACAAUCUGGACUUCCAAGAGACAUAAUAGCGAAACUACAUUUUUUUCAGACAAAAGAACUACUGCUGCGAGCCUCUAGAGAAGCAGGUCAGAUAACUUACCAAGACCACUCAAUACAAAUUUUUACGGACCUCGCUCCCCAAACCAUACAGAGGAGACGAACCCUCAAACCAGUCCUAACGAUCUUACAACAGGCAGACAUCCGCUACCGUUGGGGGUUCCCUUUCCACCUACUAUUUACAUACAAAGGCAGACAAUACUCCUCAACUUCUUAUAAUGAAACAUGGGAAAUUUUACAGAGAAUACAACUUGUCCCUCGGGAUCAAUCAUCUCCUAUUCCGUCACAAAGUUUAUCUGGAUCACCUGCUCUUACCCCAUUAUGGACACGCCGGAAGACAACAAUUGCCUCACCUCCUCUUGGCCAAUCACCAAAACCAGAUUGAACGCCAGACUAUACUUCUAUAAAAGCAUCUGUUACCCUGGAUGGCCAGGGGCUUCCCCACACUAUUUUCUAUAUAAUGAUUAAGCAACUUUAAGUGCCUGGUUGUGUUUAGGCGACCCCCCCAAUACGGUCUUUGAGUCACGCAUUUCGUAUGACCGACUUGUCGAUCUUAACAGAAGUAAAACCGAGUUUACACCCUUGCAUUAUACAUGAUGUUAUGGUUUCUUAUGCUAAUUGUAUUUUUUCAUGUUCUAGAUGUUAAUAGUUUUUCAACUUCUCUUAUCCUAAUGACGGUUGAGCUAGAUGCAUGCCUAAGAGAGGAUUCUUCCAUUUUGGUUCAGCAUCUGUGGGGGUCUGAAACGGUCCCUGUGAUACUAAAGGUUGUGAGUAUACUACACUAUCAGCUUUUACCUUUCUCGACAUGGCUACACACUUAAAGGUAAUAUCACAUAAUGUGCAAGGUUUCAAUUCACCCCACAAACGUAGUAAGGCAUUUAUCUAUUAUAUCUACUCACGCAGACAUAGUCUGUGUUCAAGAGACACACUUUUCCCAAUCAUCCACCCCUAAAUAUCUCUCUCGCCAUUUUCCUGUUUUUUACUGUUCUUCCGGCCCCAACAAAACUAAAGGAGUUCUUAUAGCUUUUCGAAAAAACCUACCUCUGAUAAUAUCCCAGCAAAUCCGAGAUGAUCAUGGUCGAUAUCUUAUUCUGAUAGGAGAAUUGUUUGAUUCCCCGAUCACUUUAGUUACUUACUAUACCCCUAACACUCAACAGAAUACUUUUUUUGAACAACUCCUGCAGAAAAUAACUGACUAACACUUAGGCCCCAUCAUUCUAGCUGGAGAUACCAACACUGCGCUAGACAUCUAUUGGGACAAAUCACACCCUAACAUCUUACACCCGUAAACAACAAGAGAGUCUCCCUCCCGACUGAAGAAAAUGCUGUUACGCCUUAAUUUAAUCGAUUCUUGGAGGGAAUUCCACCCACACGUAAGAGAAUAUACAUACUUUUCAAAUCCACAUAGUACAUAUUCACGGAUUGAUCACAUAUUUGUGUCACAAAUACUAAUUCCCAAUGCCCACCAUGCCCACAUCCUGACCACCCCGUGGUCAGAUCUCUCCCCCACUACCCUUACACUUACUAGCUUAUGGCAGAGACCAAUUGAAUUUAAUUGGCGAUUAAAUGACUCUCUACUGAAAAUUAAAUCUACCUUUCCCCCGAUAAAACAAGCAGUAGAAAACUACUUCAUAGAAAAUCAAGGCUCAGUCUCCUCUCCAAUCACACUUUGGGAAGCCCACAAGACAGUAAUAAGGGGAGAAAUCAUAAAAAUAUCU